rnacentral:rRNA from 1 species
AGUGAACGCUGGCGGUAGGCCUAACACAUGCAAGUCGAACGGCAGCACAGUAAGAGCUUGCUCUUACGGGUGGCGAGUGGCGGACGGGUGAGGAAUACAUCGGAAUCUACUUUUUCGUGGGGGAUAACGUAGGGAAACUUACGCUAAUACCGCAUACGACCUACCGGUGAAAGCAGUGGAUCUUCGGACCUUGCGCGAUUGAAUGAGCCGAUGUCGGAUUAGCUAGUUGGCGGGGUAAAGGCCCACCAAGGCGACGAUCCGUAGCUGGUCUGAGAGGAUGAUCAGCCACACUGGAACUGAGACACGGUCCAGACUCCUACGGGAGGCAGCAGUGGGGAAUAUUGGACAAUGGGCGCAAGCCUGAUCCAGCCAUACCGCGUGGGUGAAGAAGGCCUUCGGGUUGUAAAGCCCUUUUGUUGGGAAAGAAAAGCAGCAGGUUAAUACCCCGCUGUUCUGACGGUACCCAAAGAAUAAGCACCGGCUAACUUCGUG